rnacentral:rRNA from 1 species
UAACACAUGCAAGUCGAGGGGCAGCAUUUUAGUUUGCUUGCAAACUGAAGAUGGCGACCGGCGCACGGGUGAGUAACACGUAUCCAACCUGCCGAUAACUCCGGGAUAGCCUUUCGAAAGAAAGAUUAAUACCGGAUGGCAUACGAAUAUCACAUGAUAUUUUUAUUAAAGAAUUUCAGUUAUCGAUGGGGAUGCGUUCCAUUAGUUUGUUGGCGGGGUAACGGCCCACCAAGACUACGAUGGAUAGGGGUUCUGAGAGGAAGGUCCCCCACAUUGGAACUGAGACACGGUCCAAACUCCUACGGGAGGCAGCAGUGAGGAAUAUUGGUCAAUGGGCGAGAGCCUGAACCAGCCAAGUAGCGUGAAGGAUGAAGGCUCUAUGGGUCGUAAACUUCUUUUAUAUGGGAAUAAAGUUUUCCACGUGUGGAAUUUUGUAUGUACCAUAUGAAUAAGGAUCGGCUAACUC